GAUGAACGCUGGCGGCGUGCCUAAUACAUGCAAGUCGAGCGAACAGACGAGGAGCUUGCUCCUCUGACGUUAGCGGCGGACGGGUGAGUAACACGUGGAUAACCUACCUAUAAGACUGGGAUAACUUCGGGAAACCGGAGCUAAUACCGGAUAAUAUAUUGAACCGCAUGGUUCAAUAGUGAAAGACGGUUUUGCUGUCACUUAUAGAUGGAUCCGCGCCGCAUUAGCUAGUUGGUAAGGUAACGGCUUACCAAGGCAACGAUCCGUAGCCGGCCUGAGAGGACGAUCAGCCACACUGGGUCUGAGACACGGCCCAGACUCCUACGGGAGGCAGCAGUGGGGAAUGUUGGACAAUGGGAGAAAGCCUGAUCGAGCAAUGCCGCGCGUGUGAAGAAGGCCUUCGGGUUGUAAAGCACUUUUGUCCGGAAAGAAAUCCUGGACUCUAAUACAGUCGGAGGAUGACGGUACCGGAAGAAUAAGCACCGGCUAACUACGUG
rnacentral:rRNA from 1 species